rnacentral:lncRNA from 1 species
AAACAUUUGAGAAAGCCAGAAAGCAGAGGGGAUGAAGCUCCACUGUCAUGAGAAUGGGAAGCAGAAGCAGUGGCAGCAUGCACAGACAUCCUUUGAGGGUUUGUUAUAAACACAGAAACUGAUGUCUGGGAAAAGGGCCAGCUGGGUUAUCUUUCUUGUUUCAUUAAGUGUUUGUCCUCCUUAAAAUUGAGAAUGAACAGAGACUCCUUGAUUUCAUCUUCUGAAUUUGAAAACAAUGACACACAUUGCCCUGCAAUCAGGUCAGGCUGCAGUUGCAGGAACACAGACCCCCAAUCCAGAACAACCCUGCAUGGGGAAUCCUUCGGGAAAAGACUAAGCCAAAUACAACACUGGAAUUGGGGGAGGGGCUUGGAGAGUUUGUUUUUAAAAGUUUUGAGCAGCAUAUCAUCUAAGUAAGUAAGCAGUAAAUCAUCUUACAAGAGUAAGAAAAUUAGUUUUCAACUUUAAUUUCUUUGGUCUUUCAGUUUUAACAGGCACAGCUUUAAUGUUCAUUUUCAACCCGUUGAAGAGAUGAGCGUAUUGGCUAGUGCACCUUGACAACAUGCAGGUGGAAAACAGGACAUUCAGUCUUUGGUGCA